GGGGUGUCCUCCCCUCCCCUCCCCUGGGGCCCGCCCCCACCUCUGCCCCGCGCUAGGCAGGAGGGCGGGGCGCCCGGCGAGGGGCUCCGGCGCGGCGGCGGCUGUCACUCACGCACUCACGCGGGAGGAAUGCAGACGGCAGGGCUGCCCUGUGGUCACGUCUCCGCCCCACCGACGGAGGGCCGGGAGGAGGGGGACGCUGCUGCCUGGGCCUUUGAUGUUCCAGAGAAGAGAUGGUGAGAUGGCGCUGGGAGUCACUGCUGCUGUGGGGUGUGUGCUUGGGGGGAGCCCUGUGAUGUCACAUCAGGAGCCCAGAGAUGGCAGAUAUUUUUCCCCGAACAAUUUGAGGACCACAGGAACCAGGGAGGUCGCAGAACUAGGGAGGAGACAAGCCGUGGCAGAGCUGGGUGGUAGCCAGGAGGACAUGCUCCUGAGAGGGGUGGAGGAAGCAGAAAACCCUGCGUUUCAAGGAGGUUUACCAACCUGCACAGCCAGCACCCCAUCUGUCGCACCUGCCGCCCUCCCAACACACACUCAGUGGGUGGAGAUGACUCCUGCAUUUCGGCAUCAUAGCCCAUCGCACAUGCUAGAUGACCCAGAAACUGUCUGGACUGCUAUUCAUCCAGCAGUUCCUUGGCCCAUGAAGACAAACUCACUCCUGAUGCCCCUGGUCAAGCGUUCAGAGCCUCCCCCACCAGCUGAGCUCUGUGGAAUGACUGACCCUUCCCACAGUUGGCCUGUCCCAUCCAUCUGCCCCCCAAGCCUCGCAGUCAGGCCAGCAUCAGCCACCAGCGCGGCAAGGUGACAAAUGGACCUUCUUAGUGGCAGCACUUUGUCUGAGUGACGCAUUUCUUUCGUUUUGGUUUUU
ensembl:lncRNA